rnacentral:rRNA from 1 species
GAUCAUGGCUCAGGACGAACGCUGACGGCACGCUUAACACAUGCAAGUCGAACGAGAGAAGAGAAGCUUGCUUUUCUGAUCUAGUGGCGGACGGGUGAGUAACACGUGAGCAACCUGCCUUUCAGAGGGGGAUACCGAUUGGAAACGAUCGUUAAUACCGCAUAACAUAAUUGAACCGCAUGAUUUGAUUAUCAAAGAUUUAUCGCUGAAAGAUGAGCUCGCGU